rnacentral:rRNA from 1 species
GACGAACGCUGGCGGCGUGCCUAAUACAUGCAAGUUGAGCGCUGAAGGUUGGUACUUGUACCCACUGGAUGAGCAGCGAACGGGUGAGUAACGCGUGGGGAAUCUGCCUUUGAGCGGGGGACAACAUUUGGAAACGAAUGCCAAUACCGCAUAAAAACUUUAAACACAAGUUUUAAGUUUGAAAGAUGCAAUUGCAUCACUCAAAGAUGAUCCCGCGUUGUAUUAGCUAGUUGGUGAGGUAAAGGCUCACCAAGGCGAUGAUACAUAGCCGACCUGAGAGGGUGAUCGGCCACAUUGGGACUGAGACACGGCCCAAACUCCUACGGGAGGCAGCAGUAGGGAAUCUUCGGCAAUGGACGAAAGUCUGACCGAGCAACGCCGCGGGAGUGCAGAAGGUUUUCGGAUCGUAAAACUCUGUUGGUAGAGAAGAACGUUGGUGAGAGUGGAAAGCUCAUCAAGUGACGGUAACUACCCAGAAAGGGACGGCUAACUACGUG